rnacentral:rRNA from 1 species
CCCUAUGGGGUGCAGCAGGAAAGGCAGGAAAGGCUCUGUACGUUCAGUUCCCACUCGAUACCCUUCAGCACCCUCUACGAGAUCGGGUACUGGCAGAGCAAUAUGGUAAGCGAAGACUCGAGGAUCUUCUGGAACUGUUAUAUGAAGUAUGAUAGCGACUACAUAGUGACCCCCAUGUCGUACCCCGUAUCGAUGGACGCAAACCUCGCUUCCGGUAUAUGGCAGACCCUAAAGAAUAUCUACAAGCAGCAGAGGCGCUGGUCGUACGGGGUUGAGAACUUCGCUUACAUCAUGUUCAAUUUCUCGAAAAACAGGAGAAUAAGGUCCAGGGAGAAGCUAAGGAUAUUCGUGAAUAAUAUUGACGGCUACUGGUCACUUGCCACGAACCCCAUAAUCAUAUUCCUGCUUGGAUGGAUGCCGAUACUCCUGGGCGGGAGAGC